rnacentral:rRNA from 1 species
UGGGGAAUAUUGCACAAUGGGCGCAAGCCUGAUGCAGCCAUGCCGCGUGUGUGAAGAAGGCCUUCGGGUUGUAAAGCACUUUCAGCGGGGAGGAAGGCGAUAAGGUUAAUAACCUUGUCGAUUGACGUUACCCGCAGAAGAAGCACCGGCUAACUCCGUGCCAGCAGCCGCGGUAAUACGGAGGGUGCAAGCGUUAAUCGGAAUUACUGGGCGUAAAGCGCACGCAGGCGGUCUGUCAAGUCGGAUGUGAAAUCCCCGGGCUCAACCUGGGAACUGCAUUCGAAAAUGGCAGGCUAGAGUCUUGUAGAGGAGGGUAGAAUUCCAGGUGUAGCGGUGAAAUGCGUAGAGAUCUGGAGGAAUACCGGUGGCGAAGGCGGCCCCCUGGACAAAGACUGACGCUCAGGUGCGAAAGCGUGGGGAGCAAACAGG